rnacentral:lncRNA from 1 species
AUGGCAUAGACCAGCAGCUGCAGCUCUGAUUGGGCCACUAGCCUGGGAGCUUCCAUAUGCUGCAGCCCUAAAAAGACAAAAAAAAAAAUGCAUUAGUAUUUAUUCCAUUAUAAUUUUUGAUGAUGCAUUACUGUACUGAAUGUUUAUAUUUUGAAAUUAUCUGGUUAAUAAUAUGCUUUCUAAAGUUGUGCUUUAAUCAUGCUACUAUUUGCCACACUACCUACUAGGAACAAAAAAUAACAAUGAAAAUGAUGCAGUUCAACACUAAGUCAUGAAUAGCCAGAGGAAAACCCUGAUUGGAAAAAAUAAUCUGUUUCCUUAUUUCUAAUAUUUGUGCUUCUUCAGUCACAUCUCAUUUGAGCAUAUGUAUAUCUGGAUGUUUGUUUUAUCGGGUUUGAACCACUUAUGGCUGCCAGUUUAUGGCUAAUCUUCAUCUUGAGAUAAUCAAAGAUUGCUGUCAUCUUUUGUGCAUUCAUGAUACAAUUGCAUGAGCAUAUCUCAGGAUAAGUAUUUUCUAUUACUGAAAAUUAACUUAAGAGACAAAUGGAUUUUUUAAAAUUUAUUAUUUUUAUUAACAAGAUUUAGGCUAUUUUUUUCAUUUCUCCAAUACAUUAUUUAUUCUAGAAUUGAUGGUGAUGAAACUUCUUACCACUUGGAAAUUGUGUAAGGUUUAUUAGGCCUAGGAAAAAGUACUGAGUAAUUUUAUUUCGGCCUUUACAUCAAAAUACCAUUUAGUGCUCCAAGUCUCUCUUUCACACGUUCUUGUCAGUCUGCAAACCCCUUCAGUUAUUAAGAGGACUUCCCAGUAUCACCUUUUCUACCUGUACUUCCAUUCAUUCAUUCAUUGUUUCUUUCAUUACAAACAUUUACUGAACACCUGCUAUUGUCAGACAUUGAAGUAGGUGCUAGGAUUACAAUGAUAAACCAAAUGGAUGAAUAAAACAUCAAGAUAUCAAAUGAUACAAUGAAAAUAAAAGGAUGUGACAAAGUGUGACUAGGGUCUUGUUUGGACUGGAUAGUUGGGGAAGGAAUCUUUGAGGAGAUGACAUGUAAGUGGAAAUGUGAUUGACAAGUAAUUAGAUACGGGAGACUUGGGUGGAACAGCAUUCCAAGCAGAAGAAAGACAGUGCUAGGGCUAUAAGGUGGAAAUUAAACUGGGGGUAUUCAAGGAAGAGAUUAAAGGCAAGCUAGGGCUGGAGUAUAGGACCAAGUGGAAGAUGGGAAAGAGAUGGGUUUGAUGAAGGAGACAGGGACCCCUUCACAUGAAACCUGUUAGGCAGGGUGGGGCAUCUAGUUAUUAUUCUGAAGGCUAUGAGAAAGCACAGAGGGCUUCACUCAGCAGGGCCACUAGGAUCUGAUCUGCACUUAGAACACUGCUGUCUUUGUGGAGACGAAAUGCAAGUCUGGAGAGCAGCUGGGAGGCUAUCACCUCAGCCCAGGUGAGAGAUGAUGCAGUCUUCAGCUUGGGCAGCUGAUGCCCAAGGAAAUGGUAAGGAGUGGAUGGAAUUGCUAUAUGUUUUAAAGACAGAUUCAGUGGGGCUUGUUGGUUGAUUUGAUGGGAUGAAGGGUAAAAGGAAGAGAGGAAUCAAGGAUGAUCACGUUAAAUAACAUUAUAAAUCAGCAAAAAUAUUCCCAACUUUCCAAAAAGAAUGGGAAACAGCUGCGCUUGCUGAAAUUCCAAUGAAGCGAUUAGAUUACAUGAGGUGCAUGCAUUUCAUUUUGGACAUGAAUGCCCAGAAGGCUGGUCUGUCAUCUGUGGUGGAGGACCCCCAAAUGAUGCUUUGAGCAGCACAGCCAAUUGUAAAAGCAGACAGGGCCCAAAUGGAUUUUUUUUUAUUUCUUUUUGACCUAUCCUGUGUAUCUUUUGUGGCUCUAAUCUGAUGAACAAAUAUCUAUAAGGAACUGCUUAAAGUCUAUAGGGUAUCACUAGAAUAGAGAAACUUCUAGAUUGACCAUCAAGAGGCUUAGACCUUAGUUCCACAAAAACUAUUGUCUGUAUAAAGUGGAGAAUUAGCUUCCGUAGUUUCAAGUCUGAAAUGGAUAUAAUUCCUACUUGCCUCUUAAAUAAACAUGUUGGUGUGGUAAAGUGACAUUUUGUUUUUGAAUAUGAUUGAGUACAUCACAAGAAAUGAAUGAUGCUAUAAAAGGGAUGAUAUAUUCAAAUUAAAAAAAAAAAAGGAAUUCCCAUUGUGGUGCAGCAGAAACAAAUCUGAUUAGUAACCAUGAGGUUGCAGGUUUGAUCCCUGGCCUUGCUCAGUGGGUUAAGGAUCCUGUGUUGCCGGGAGCUGUGGCGUAGGUCACAGAUGUGGCUUAGAUCCUGCAUUGUUAUGGCUGUGGCAUAGGCCCCUACACAACUGUAGCUCUGAUUCGACCCCUAGCCUGGAAUAUCCAUAUGCCACAGGUGUGGCCCUAAAAAAAAAAAAAAAAAAGGAAAAAAAAA